GCCCUUCAUAGUCAAUUUUUAACAAUUUUCUUAAAAUUUGAAGAUUUUCAAUAACAUUUUCCACAGAAAGUACUGUUAUAGAUAGAGAUAAUUGUAAGCAGCAAGAAUGUUUAGUUAAGUAAGAUCUACAAACACAUCACCAUCACCAAAACACAAUUUUGUCAUGAAUCCAUCUGUGUCCAUUGUUUAAUAUUCACAUAGACCAAGGUGAGCGACACAGGCUC
rnacentral:lncRNA from 1 species